ensembl:lncRNA
CGCCCCCUCCUUUUUUGACCUCCGAGGAGCCUGUCUGUGCAUGUGUAGUGGAGAAGGUCUCCUGACUUUGAGAAUGAGGCACACGUGGUCUCUUACUGCCUGUCUGGGCAGGGCCCCGCCUCCUCCCUCAAUUGUCCUACUAUUUUAGUCUCAGAGUAUCGGUCCACAGAGAACCAGUGCCAACUGUUUGCUCCGGGGCCCAUCUGUCUCCUGCCUCAGGAUGACUGGCAAGCAGUCCCCUGUUGACACAGUGUAGUGAUGAUUUCACCCCAGUGAUUCUGGUUCCUCUCUAGAAAUAGCUCCUCACUGAAGCCACAGAGAAAAUCCAAAUUUCCCAGGAAAAUAAGACGGAGGAAUUGGGGAUUAGGAAACAUAUCACUCACGCCCUGAGCUCCCAGGGCAGCAACAGAGCUACAGCAGCAUUCAUCUGGGGCCACAGGGUCCCUGGGCAGAUGCAGGCUGUCCCUUCCCGGCCUUCAUCUGGGCCCCUGCAGGGGGGACCCUUGCGCUAGGAGGGUCAAGCGGAGCAGAGCUUCCUCAGUGCAACCUCAAAAGUCGAACUACUCAAUUCGGCCCUGCCCUGGAGCUCCAGUGGAGAUGUUGAAUGCAAAUGAGGAUCAGCAUGUGUAUGAUGAUUCAGAGCAGUUGUAACAGACUUCCAGCCUCCAAGUUUUCAUCUCCAAGUGAUUCAUCUCAAAAGCCACCCCCAUGGGCCCCUCAUCUGCUGUUUAAUUGGAGAAGGGGGUGCUAGAGGCCCUAGAGCCUUAAUUGCAUCUGUUAAUGGGUGUGUGUCUAUCGACGUGUAUGUUAGAUGAACGCACGCCUGCGUGUGAGGAUGCUGUCUGGAGGCACUUCGGGGGCCAUGUAUGCUCCUGUGCAGUUGACACCUUGUGGCUUUGUCCUGAGGUCAGGGUCUAUGUCAUGACACUGCUGUGCUGAUCAGAGCCCAGGACAGUGCCAAGUACUUAAAGACUUCUACCAAAGUGUGUGGAU